rnacentral:rRNA from 1 species
UACGAAGGGGGCUAGCGUUGUUCGGAAUUACUGGGCGUAAAGCGCACGUAGGCGGAUAUUUAAGUCAGGGGUGAAAUCCCAGAGCUCAACUCUGGAACUGCCUUUGAUACUGGGUAUCUUGAGUAUGGAAGAGGUAAGUGGAAUUGCGAGUGUAGAGGUGAAAUUCGUAGAUAUUCGCAGGAACACCAGUGGCGAAGGCAGCUCACUGGGACGGUACUGACGCUGAGACGCGAAAGCGUGGGGAGCAAACAGG